rnacentral:rRNA from 1 species
UACGUAGGGUGCAAGCGUUGUCCGGAAUUAUUGGGCGUAAAGAGCUCGUAGGCGGCUUGUCGCGUCGUUCGUGAAAACCUGCAGCUCAACUGCAGGCUUGCGGUCGAUACGGGCAGGCUGGAGUUCGGUAGGGGAGACUAGAAUUCCUGGUGUAGCGGUGAAAUGCGUAGAUAUCGUAAGGAAGACCAGUGGCGAAGGCGGGUCUCUGGACAGUUCCUGACGCUGAGGCACGAAGGUCAGGGGAGCAAACGGG